AUACAGGUUACCUGGAGAGGCUAUCGGAGCCUGGUUCAAUCUAGUGAGUUCCCCGUGGGCGAUCUGCCCUGCCCUCUGGGACAAGCCCUGGAAACGGGGUCUAAUACCCGAGUAACCACUNCUUACGGGCAUCUGUGAGGGUUGAAAGCUCCUGGGGAGCAGGAAGAGCCCGCGGCCCUAUCAGCAUGUUUGGUGAGGUAGUGGCUCACCAAGGCGGAAGACGGGUAACCCGCCUGAAAGGGCGACCGGCCACACUUGGGACUGAGACACGGCCCAGAAUCCUACGGGAGGCAGCAGUGGGAAAUAUUGCACAAUGGGCGAAAACCUGAUCCAGCGACGCCGCGUUGAGGGAUGACGGCCUUCGGGUUGUAAACCUCUUUCAGCAGGGAAGAAGCGAAAGUGACGGUACCUGCAGAAGAAGCGCCGGCUAACUACGUGCCAGCAGCCGCGGUAAUACGUAGGGCGCAAGCGUUGUCCGGAAUUAUUGGGCGUAAAGAGCUCGUAGGCGGUCUGUCGCGUCGGAUGUGAAAGCCCGGGGCUUAACCCCGGGUCUGCAUUCGAUACGGGCAGACUAGAGUGUGGUAGGGGAGAUCGGAAUUCCUGGUGUAGCGGUGAAAUGCGCAGAUAUCAGGAGGAACACCGGUGGCGAAGGCGGAUCUCUGGGCCAUUACUGACGCUGAGGAGCGAAAGCGUGGGGAGCGAACAGGAUUAGAUACCCUGGUAGUCCACGCCGUAAACGGUGGGAACUAGGUGUUGGCGACAUUCCACGUCGUCGGUGCCGCAGCUAACGCAUUAAGUUCCCCGCCUGGGGAGUACGGCCGCAAGGCUAAAACUCAAAGGAAUUGACGGGGGCCCGCACAAGCAGCGGAGCAUGUGGCUUAAUUCGACGCAACGCGAAGAACCUUACCAAGGCUUGACAUAUACCGGAAACGGCCAGAGAUGGGCGCCCCCCUUGUGGUCGGUAUACAGGGGGGGGCAUGGCUGUCACCAGCUCGGGUCGGGAGAUGUUGGGUUAAGUCCCGCAACGAGCGCAACCCUUGUUCUGGGUUGCCAGCAGGCCCUUCGGGGGGAAGGGGAACCCACAGGAAACUGCCGGGGCCAACUCGGAGGAAGGGGGGGAAGACCCCAAGACCACCAGGCCCCUUAUGUCUUGGGGCUGCACACGUGCCACAAUGGCAGGUACAAUGAGCUUGCCAAACCCCAAGGUGGAGCGAACCUAGUCAAAAACCCGGUCUCAAUUUCGGAUUGGGGUCUGCAACUCGACCCCAUGAAGUCGGAGUUGCUAGUAAUCGCAGAUCAGCAUUGCUGCGGUGAAUACGUUCCCGGGCCUUGUACACACCGCCCGUCACGUCAGGAAAGUCGGUAACACCCGAAGCCGGUUAGCAACCUGGUGUCCAGUGAC
rnacentral:rRNA from 1 species